rnacentral:rRNA from 2 species
UAUGGCUCAGGAUGAACGCCGGCGGUGUGCCUAAUACAUGCAAGUCGUACGCACUGGCCCAACUGAUUGAUGGUGCUUGCACCUGAUUGACGAUGGAUCACCAGUGAGUGGCGGACGGGUGAGUAACACGUAGGUAACCUGCCCCGGAGCGGGGGAUAACAUUUGGAAACAGAUGCUAAUACCGCAUAACAACAAAAGCCACAUGGCUUUUGUUUGAAAGAUGGCUUUGGCUAUCACUCUGGGAUGGACCUGCGGUGCAUUAGCUAGUUGGUAAGGUAACGGCUUACCAAGGCGAUGAUGCAUAGCCGAGUUGAGAGACUGAUCGGCCACAAUGGAACUGAGACACGGUCCAUACUCCUACGGGAGGCAGCAGUAGGGAAUCUUCCACAAUGGGCGCAAGCCUGAUGGAGCAACACCGCGUGAGUGAAGAAGGGUUUCGGCUCGUAAAGCUCUGUUGUUGGAGAAGAACGUGCGUGAGAGUAACUGUUCACGCAGUGACGGUAUCCAACCAGAAAGUCACGGCUAACUACGUGCCAGCAGCCGCGGUAAUACGUAGGUGGCAAGCGUUAUCCGGAUUUAUUGGGCGUAAAGCGAGCGCAGGCGGUUGCUUAGGUCUGAUGUGAAAGCCUUCGGCUUAACCGAAGAAGUGCAUCGGAAACCGGGCGACUUGAGUGCAGAAGAGGACAGUGGAACUCCAUGUGUAGCGGUGGAAUGCGUAGAUAUAUGGAAGAACACCAGUGGCGAAGGCGGCUGUCUGGUCUGCAACUGACGCUGAGGCUCGAAAGCAUGGGUAGCGAACAGGAUUAGAUACCCUGGUAGUCCAUGCCGUAAACGAUGAGUGCUAGGUGUUGGAGGGUUUCCGCCCUUCAGUGCCGGAGCUAACGCAUUAAGCACUCCGCCUGGGGAGUACGACCGCAAGGUUGAAACUCAAAGGAAUUGACGGGGGCCCGCACAAGCGGUGGAGCAUGUGGUUUAAUUCGAAGCUACGCGAAGAACCUUACCAGGUCUUGACAUCUUGCGCUAACCUUAGAGAUAAGGCGUUCCCUUCGGGGACGCAAUGACAGGUGGUGCAUGGUCGUCGUCAGCUCGUGUCGUGAGAUGUUGGGUUAAGUCCCGCAACGAGCGCAACCCUUGUUACUAGUUGCCAGCAUUAAGUUGGGCACUCUAGUGAGACUGCCGGUGACAAACCGGAGGAAGGUGGGGACGACGUCAGAUCAUCAUGCCCCUUAUGACCUGGGCUACACACGUGCUACAAUGGACGGUACAACGAGUCGCAAGCUCGCGAGAGUAAGCUAAUCUCUUAAAGCCGUUCUCAGUUCGGACUGUAGGCUGCAACUCGCCUACACGAAGUCGGAAUCGCUAGUAAUCGCGGAUCAGCAUGCCGCGGUGAAUACGUUCCCGGGCCUUGUACACACCGCCCGUCACACCAUGGGGAGUUUGUAACGCCCAAAGUCGGUGGCCUAACCUUUAUGGAGGGAGCCGCCUAAGGC